GGGCGGUUAGCUCAGCGGUAGAGCGCUACAUUCACAUUGUAGAAGUCAGAGGUUCGAAUCCUCUACCGCCCA
rfam:Candidate division WWE3 bacterium RIFCSPLOWO2_02_FTLL_53_10 rifcsplowo2_02_scaffold_82408, whole genome shotgun sequence.